rnacentral:rRNA from 1 species
UUUGGACCCACCUGACUCCAUGCCGAACUCAGAAGUGAAACGAAACAGCGUCGAUGGUAGUGUGGGGUCUCCCCAUGUGAGAGUAGAACAUCGCCAGGC